GACGAACGCUGGCGGCGUGCUUAACACAUGCAAGUCGAACGGAAAGGCCCUUCGGGGUACUCGAGUGGCGAACGGGUGAGUAACACGUGGGUGAUCUGCCCUGCACUUUGGGAUAAGCCUGGGAAACUGGGUCUAAUACCGAAUAGGACCACGCGCUUCAUGGUGUGUGGUGGAAAGCUUUUGCGGUGUGGGAUGGGCCCGCGGCCAAUCAGCUUGUUGGUGGGGUAAUGGCCUACCAAGGCGACGACGGGUAGCCGGCCUGAGAGGGUGACCGGCCACACUGGGACUGAGAUACGGCCCAGACUCCUACGGGAGGCAGCAGUGGGGAAUAUUGCACAAUGGGCGCAAGCCUGAUGCAGCGACGCCGCGUGAGGGAUGACGGCCUUCGGGUUGUAAACCUCUUUCAAUAGGGACGAAGCGCAAGUGACGGUACCUAUAGAAGAAGCACCGGCCAACUACGUG
rnacentral:rRNA from 1 species